rnacentral:rRNA from 1 species
UACGAAGGGGGCUAGCGUUGCUCGGAAUCACUGGGCGUAAAGCGCACGUAGGCGGCGUCUUAAGUCAGAGGUGAAACCCCCGGGCUCAACUCGGGGCCUGCAGGCGAAACUGCCGUGCUGGAGUGCGGAAGAGGUGAGUGGAAUUCCCGGUGUAGCGGUGAAAUGCGCAGAUAUCAGGAGGAACACCGGUGGCGAAGGCGGGUCUCUGGGCCGAUACUGACGCUGAGGAGCGAAAGCGUGGGGAGCGAACAGG